rnacentral:lncRNA from 1 species
UGUGUACGGUGACAGGUGGUAACCAGCCUUUGGGUGGUGAACACGAUGUAAACUACACAAAAAUCGAAAUAUAAUGAUGUACACCUGAAAUUUAUAUAAUGUUAUAAACCAAUGUUACCUCAAUUUACAAAAAUACAUGCAGGAAGGUAGCCAGCACAUUUAGAAACUUCACGCAAACAGAAAAAGGCACCCACUCUGAUAGACAAUUAGAAGGUGCACUGUCCUCCAGUGCACAGAGGAACAGAGCCUAGGCUGGAUUCAGAUCCCAGCCCCUCCGCCAGGCACAGCCUGCACAGCCAUACACAGCAGUUUACACACAAAAAAGAAAUGGGGGGGAGGGGAUCUUGUAUCUAGAUGAAUUUUAUAUAAAGUGAAGCCGGUGCGCCGAGGCAGUUUUCUGUUCGAGGAAAUCCUGCUGUGAACUCCUUCGUCACGUGGAGAAUGCUUCCUAAUGGAGGUCGUCACCACCCAGGCACUGCUGCGAAAUUCAGAUCCGUGAUUUGGCGAAAGUGAGAUCUGGCCGGAGAACUCAGAGAAAUUACAGACGCUGUUAAAUUACAAAGCACUCAGAGGCAAAGAGGAAAGAAAAGGCACAGGCGAUCGCCAGCAGGAUGGACGCUGGCAGUCUCCACCGGCUCCUAAUCACUAAUCGCGGCAUCCGCCCGCCUGUGGCCGUCACUGAGUCAACUGUACGUGCUCCCGGGGACAGGAAAUCUGCUUCCGUCCAACCGGGAAGCGAACGGACCAACGGACAACAAGGAACCAGCGGGAGGAGCUUCCCUGAGUUAGGGGACGGCUGCUGACAAACACGUGGAGACCACGCGGCCUCGCUCCCGCCCCGCCCCCCCCGUUGCCCUGACAACCGCGCCGGCGUCAGGUUGCGCUGAGGGCGCGCGGCCAGCCUCCCACAGUGCCCCGCGCGCGCGCAUGCGCCGGGGAGGCCCGCCGCGCAGGCCGUUUGGCUGGGCCCUGGCCGCGCAGCACCUCGCGGAGUCGGGAGGCGGGUGGGAGUGCGCCGGAGAGACGAGCCGCUCGCCACGCGCCGGCUUCGUGCUGGGCGCCCUCGGGGACUCCGGAGGAGACCCCGCCUUCCAGGCCCGCGCCUCCCUUCGGAGCGGCGAGACCCGCGUCCCGUGCCCGCCCUGCCUCAGUUUCCCCAUUUGUAGGGUGGGAGCUCACAGCCCUCCCUAGAGGCCAGAAGGGGCCGGAAGGCGGGGAGCAGGGCGGCUCCGUGGUGGGAGUGGUGGGACGAGGACGCGAAGAUGCCCGGGAGGUGGCUGUGCGCGUCCCCUUGCCGGGAGGAGGCCCCGGCCCAGUGGGUGGGGAGAGGGUUAGGGGCCCGGUCGUUGUUUAGGGCGGAGGGUGUCCUGUGCCCUGUAGGAUGCUUCUGUUCAGCUGCAUAUCCGCCUCUGCUCACUAGAUGCCGUGAACGCCACCGGCCCCAAGAUGUCACCACCCAAAGUAUCUCCAGACGUUGCCAGGUGUCCCCUAGGGGGCAGGAUGGCACCGAGAGAGAACCCCCCGAGCAGAGCCAAAAAUGAAAAGAUAGAUAAAUCUGUCAGUUUUCACUAAGUCGAUUUUGAAUUCUUUAACCACUGUGCUAUGCCCAAAAUAUAUGCUACAUUAAUUCUCCCAGUGGAGAUUCGUAAAAUAGCCAGAUUUUCUGGAAACUGGUUGACUCAGUUGGAGUCUGUGAAACAGCGGAUGAGUGUGAUGGACUCUUCCACUGAGCUGAACGGGCACUGGGCCAAGAAUCCGGAGACCUGGGAUCUGUCCCCAGGGCGGCCCUUACAAGCUCUGUGGCCUUGUCACUUAACUUCUCUGGACUGAUUGUCCCCUCUGUCAAAUGAGGGCUGCCAGGUGCCAGAUCUGGGCCAUGGGCCAGAAGAUGCUAUGUGCUGCCCUCACAGAGCAGGAACUUGAAGUAAGGAAUUGGGAGCCUGCUCAAGAGAAUGGGCUAACCAGGAUGGCCCGACCUGAACCCGCGAGAACACAAGCUCAAGGGAGCACAGACAGCCCGUUGUGUUUAUCGCUGCCUCCCGGGUGCUCAGAACAAUCCCGAUACCUAGGACCAGUCAAUAACUAGGUGUCGAAUGAAUGAACAAGGGGCACGUGGUGUAUUUGGGAAUGAUAGCGGCUCCCUCUCCCAGGAGCAGCAUUCCCGGAGAUGACACAUGUGAGAGGUGAGCGCUGGUGAACGGUGCUUGGAGAGGAGUGAGCGCUCGGCAUGCAGCCCCGAGUUUACAGAGAGCCGGCUCUCGAUGCUCCGGAACGGGGCCGGCACCCAGCAAUCCAGGGCGGUCGCGAGGCCAUCAUCUCCCACACUGCCCUUGAUAAAGGCCAGCUGGCUGUCGGCCGCUCGGUGAGAAAUGGUGUGUCCCUUGCUCCUGACCCCCCGAGGCCUGGAGCACCGAGGGCACCCGCUAACCAGCUGAUGCUGCGG